CAGCCACACAUCCACUGUAUACCAAGUUAUGAUGAUCAAUUAUGAAAAUGCAAAAGGAUUGAUAGAUCAGUAAACAAGCAACAAAAAGAUGGGUGCUCAUGGUGGCCUCCAAAUAAAUACAUGGACAGGCUGCUAAAGAGGGUCAGGAUGAUGGAGAUGCAAGAGCCAAAGACAGCACAGACCAAACACCAGGCCAGAAUUCUGCAUGAGUCAGCUGUAAAAAGACAAAAGAAUGAAACAGUACCUGCAUUUAAGUUUCCAGCCUUUUUCACAAAGUUGCCGACAACUGGAAGAAUGUCCCAAAUUGCUGCAAAAAGAAAUUCAAUUGAGUAAUUUUCACUCUAGAGACCCUGGGGUGACCACCAAGGACGAAUGCAAACUCCAGUGAGUGUCUCUAAGGUAGAUCCUAAUGCAGAUGGAUGGAAUGUUGAUCCGCCUAACAUGCAAGCUACAGAGGGCAUCCUUUAUUCAGUCCCUAAUGCAGAUGGUUGGAGUGUUGAUCUACCUAACAUGAGGGGUAAAAGAGUGUUUGUUAGCAUAAUGAGAAAGAAAACAGAA